AAUCGAACCCGGAGAUAGCUGGUUCUCCUCGAAAUAGCUUUAGGGCUAGCCUCAUACAAGUCUGCCGGAGGUAGAGCACUGAAUUUCCGCGGGGGCGUCAAAGCCUACCAAAGAAUAUCAAACUCCGAAUGCCGGACAGAUGGUGUAUGGGAGUCAGACUGUACGAGAUAAGUUGGACAGUCAAAAGGGAAAGAGCCCAGACCGCCGGCUAAGGUCCCAAAGUGGGUGUUAAGUGGAAAAGGAUGUGGGAUCUCUAAGACAACCAGGAUGUUGGCUCAGAAGCAGCCAUUCAUUAAAAGAGUGCGUAACAGCUCACUGGUCGAGAGGUCCUGCGCCGAAAAUGUCCGGGGCUGAAACACCACACCGAAGCCGCGGAACCCGUAAGGGUUGGUAGAGGAGCAUUCUUAGGGGAGCGAAGCAUUACCGUAAGGGGAUGUGGACUGCUAAGAAGAGAGAAUGCCGGAAUGAGUAGCGAGAGCAAGGUGAGAAUCCUUGCGGCCGAAUAUCCAAGGUUUCCAGAGUAAAGCUGAUCUGCUCUGGGUAAGUCGGGGCCUAAGGAGAGGCAGAGAUGCGUAUCCGAUGGACAGCAGGUUUAAGAUUCCUGCACCCCUUGUUAUCAGAACUGCGGGGACACGGGAAGGGAAGCAGAGCCGGGAAUGGAAAGCCCGGUGCAAGCGAAGUAGUCGCAGGGUUGGAAAAUCCGCCCUGCAUAAGACGAAGGCGUGAUGCGGAGCGAAAUGAAGUAGUGAAGCUGCGGCCCCUUCCUGUCGAGAAAAGCCGCUAUCGUGUAGCAAGGGCCCGUACCGUAAACCGACACAGGUGGAUGAGGAGAGGAUCCUAAGGCCGGCGGGAGAAGUGUUGUUAAGGAACUCGGCAAAAUGACUCCGUAACUUCGGGAGAAGGAGUGCUGCGCAAGCAGCCGCAGAGAAAUGGCCCAAGCAACUGUUUAGCAAAAACACAGGUCUAUGCGAAACCGAAAGGUGAGGUAUAUGGGCUGACGCCUGCCCGGUGCUGGAAGGUUAAGGGGAGAGGUUAGCGCAAGCGAAGCUUUGAACUUAAGCCCCAGUAAACGGCGGCCGUAACUAUAACGGUCCUAAGGUAGCGAAAUUCCUUGUCGGGUAAGUUCCGACCCGCACGAAAGGCGUAAUGAUUUGGGCACUGUCUCAACAACACACCCGGUGAAAUUGAAAUACCAGUGAAGAUGCUGGUUACCCGCGCCAGGACGGAAAGACCCCAUGGAGCUUUACUCCAGCCUGAUACUGGGAUUCGGUAUUGCAUGUACAGGAUAGGUGGGAGGCUAAGAACUCAUGGCGCCAGCCGUGAGGGAGCCGGUGUUGGGAUACCACCCCUGCAGUACUGGGUUUCUAACCUGCGCCCGUGACCCGGGCGGGGGACAAUGUCAGGCGGGGAGUUUGACUGGGGCGGUCGCCUCCGAAAGGGUAUCGGAGGCGCUCAAAGGUUCCCUCAGAAUGGUUGGAAACCAUUCGAAGAGUGCAAAGGCAGAAGGGAGCUUGACUGCGACACCGACGGGUGGAGCAGGUACGAAAGUAGGACUUAGUGAUCCGGUGGUAUAAAGUGGGAUUGCCAUCGCUCAACGGAUAAAAGCUACCCUGGGGAUAACAGGCUUAUCACUCCCAAGAGUUCACAUCGACGGAGUGGUUUGGCACCUCGAUGUCGGCUCAUCGCAUCCUGGAGCUGUAGCAGGUUCCAAGGGUUGGGCUGUUCGCCCAUUAAAGCGGUACGCGAGCUGGGUUCAGAACGUCGUGAGACAGUUCGGUCCCUAUCCGGCGCGGGCGUAGGAUAUUUGAGAGGAGCUGUCCUUAGUACGAGAGGACCGGGAUGGACGGACCGCUGGUGUAUCUGUUGUACUGCCAAGUGCAUCGCAGAGUAGCCAAGUCUGGAAGGGAUAAACGCUGAAGGCAUCUAAGCGUGAAGCCCCCCUAAAGAUAAGAUUUCCCAUACCGAAAGGUAGUAAGACCCCUUGAAGACGACGAGGUAGAUAGGGCAGAGGUGGAAGUGUGGUAACGCAUGGAGCUGACUGUUACUAAUCGGUCGAGGCUUUAACC
rnacentral:rRNA from 1 species